rnacentral:rRNA from 1 species
AAUCUGGGGCCCCAGGCCUCCGAGUUGUAAUUUGGAGAGGCAUCUUCGGGGAGGGGGCGCGGGCCCAUGUUCCUUGGAACAGGACGUCGCAGAGGGUGAGAAUCCCGUGCCAGGCCGGCUGCCUCCGCCCCAGUGAAGGGCCUUCGACGAGUCGAGUUGUUUGGGAAUGCAGCUCCAAGUGGGUGGUAAAUUUCAUCUAAAGCUAAAUACCGGCGGGAGACCGAUAGCGCACAAGUAGAGUGAUCGAAAGAUGAAAAGCACUUUGAAAAUAGAGUCAAAAAGUACGUGAAAUUGUUGAAAGGGAAGCGCUUGAGACCAGACUCGGACCCGGGCAAACAUCGCGCCCCCCGGGGCCGUGCAAUUGCCUGGGGCCGGGCCAGCAUCGGUUGGCGUGGCGGGACAAAGGCGCGGGGAAUGUGGCUCCCCUCGGGGAGUGUUAUUAGGCCCGCGCCCAAUGCCGCCUACGCCGACUGAGGACCGCGCCGCCCGGCUAGGAUGCUGGCUUAAUGGCCUUCAGCGACCCGUCUUGAAACACGGACCAAGGWGUCUAACAUCUAUGCGAGUGUUUGGGCUUGAAACCCUUGCGCGGAAUGAAAGUGAGCGGAGGUGGGAACCCCC